rnacentral:rRNA from 1 species
GAUGAACGCUGACAGAAUGCUUAACACAUGCAAGUCAACUGUGGCGGACGGGUGAGUAACGCGUAAAGAACUUGCCUCACGGAUAGGGACAUCAUUUGGAAACGAAUGCUAAUACCUGAUACUGUGAGAGAGCUUUGCGUCCCAUUAGCUCGUGGGAGAGGUAACGGCUCACCAAGGCGAUGAUGGGUAGCCGGCCUGAGAGGGUGAUCGGCCACAAGGGGAAGGAGACACGGCCCUUAGUCCUCCGGGGGGCAGGAGUGGGGAAUAUUGGAGAAUGGACCAAAGUCUGAUACAGCAAUUCGGUGUGCAAGAUGAAGUUUUCGGAAUGUAAAGUGCUUUCAGUUGGGAAGCGGUACCAACAGAAGAAGUGACGGCUAAAUACGUGCCAGCAGCCGCGGUAAUAC